ACACACUACAUUCCUUGUCAGCAAACACAUACAACAUUCUCUAAACACACCCUCUCUACAACCCCUACACACACUACGUCACCUAUACACACACACUACAGCCCGUAUGCACACAUUCGCUACAUCCCCUAUAACACUAUGCCACCUAUACACACACUCUCUACAGCCCCUAGCCACACAUAUUACACCACAAACACAUAUGAAAUUGACCUAUUUAC